AAGUUAAUGGCAUUGAAUGAUUUAUAAGGGAUUUUAAAAGCUUUUAAAAGCUUUUAAAAGUGUUAAACAUGAUUUACAAUCGUUUUUAAAGUAUUUACUAUAAAACCUGUAAUAAUAGUCUCUACACUGUCUUUUGUUCAUACAGGAAUUCAAUGUGAACCUGUUCAUAGGGAACUUCGACGAAAGGGGAAAGAUCCUGUAAAAGAACCAUACUUUUGGGCUAAUAAAGAAUCCUAUACUCUUGGUGAUCUCGAAGAUCGAUUGUUUUUAAAACCUAAGGAAGGUGAACCUGCUGUUGAAGAUGAAGAAAAGUUGUGUCUUGCUGCAGUAGUGUUGACUGAAGGAAUUCUUUUGACACCAUAUGGAAAAGAGAAGAUACCUUUGCCAAGAUUGCAGCAUGCUUCUGAUUUUGAGAUGUACACAGCCCAACCGUGGGGUAAAGAAGCAUUCAGUGUUCUAUCAAAUUCAAUUCUGAGAAUGGACGAGAAAACUUGGGCAAAAGAGAAAUAUGAUUUGAGAGGAUUUGGACUAGCGCUAACAAUAUGGGUGUUGAGCGCAGUUCCAGCAUUUGGUGCAGCAUAUGGAGUUAAAGAUAAGGAAUUCCAAUCUGAAUAUCCAUUGAUAUUGAAGUGGAAAAGCACUACUACUCCAGAGUUUUUCAAGAUCGUAAACCUUGUAAAUGAUGUUUCUGAGGUAAGCUUUUGUCUAUUUACAGAAUUCUUUAAAUGGUUUUGAGAUUUGAAGUUCUGCUUUCUCAAGAUUUGUAAUGUUAUUGUAACUUCGCAGAUUGAGGUGAAUACAAUUAUUGGAAACCCAGAAGACUUCAAGUCUUUAGUUCCUGAUUUCCACACAGACGACGUAGAAUUCCAACAGGUUUUGGAACUUGUUAAGAUGGGCUACAGAUUGAAGAAAACUGAAUGGAAUACAAGAUGCGUUGAUGUUUGUGUUGCCCUUGAAGAAGUAGGUCAAAACAAAAUCAAUAACAAAAUAUCUGAUAGCGAGAAGCUUGACAGGAUUUUGACAAUCCUUGAAGAUCUUAACAAGAGAGUCGAGCUGAUUGAGAGGAUUUUGGACAUUAGAAUGGAGGAAAAGAAUAAUCAGAGAUCUGAGGAAGAUGAAGAAAGAAAACAAGAAGAUGAAGGAGUAGAAAGACAACCAGAGGUAAUUGUAAAUGUUUCUUUAAAAGCUAUUUGAAAGGAAAUGUUUUACAAUGUAUUUUAAAGGUUAAAUACGUAGUAAACCUUUACAAUGUACUCUUUUUUUUCGCAGGCUGAAGAAGAAGGAGGACUAGAAAGAAAAGCAGAGGUAAUUGAAAAUCUUUACAAGCUAUUUUAUAGUCUACUAAUUAUGUUUUACCAUCACGUUGGGUGUUUUGAUUGACUUAUUGUUUUUAUUUUGUUACAGAAUGACAAUGAAUCAUUUGAAGAUUCAAUCCGAGAGCCAAACACACAGUAUGGGAGCUAUCCGGGUGAUGAUGAAAACAUC
rnacentral:sRNA from 1 species